ACGUCCAAUGGAGGUGAGGAGCUCCAAGCUGCAUGGCGCUCCCGCCCUGCCUCCUGCCGCCCCGACUGCCCUAGUGAACGGGCCCCGGAGCCUGCAAAGACGGCCAGGAGAACUAUUAAACCAACCAUGCAAAUUAUCAAGGCCCCACAGACCCAGGAGGAGAAAGAAACUAGACAACGUUUAGUCACAUCAUUCAAGGCUAUCCUUCCCAAGGACAUCUAAGCCCUAUUCCUCGUCCACACCACUGUCCUUCCUUGGAAAAUUUUGACAGGCCUCUGAUCACUUCCCUCCCUGGAGAAUUUCAACUGUUGCACAUCAGGACAGGCUGGUCUUUCUCACUCUGACCGCUCUCCAGCUAGUUCAGCCUUCCAGACUUCCUCACAGUUUUCUGCUCCACUCUUUUUCACCCCAUGAAGAACUUCAGUGAAAUAGCUAACUGUAGUUAGUGAAUUCCUUCUUAAAGAAAGAUACCUUUUAGGGAUAUAAUUAACCAGUUCCAUAAUUUUCCUGUUUUGUACAUGUGAACUUUGGUAUGUUACAGUUUCACCUCUUCAGU